rnacentral:pre_miRNA from 1 species
GUAUUUAGCAAAUUGAUUACUAUAGAAGUACUUGUGGAGCUCUUGUGCAACUCUCCUUUCCAUCUUGGGGCAGUUUCUCAGAAUCAAUAUUCUUAUGAUGGGAAUCUGAAUUCACAGUUUUUGUAACUGCAAAAACUUGUGAGGUUUGAUAGCUCCACAAGUAAAUCUAUAGUAAUUAAUUUGCUAAAUAC